UACGUAGGGGGCAAGCGUUGUCCGGAUUUAUUGGGCGUAAAGGGCGCGUAGGCGGCCUGUUAAGUCGAACGUGAAAUCCCCGGGCUCAACCCGGGAACUGCGUCCGAUACUGGCAGGCUAGAGUCCGGAAGAGGAGAGUGGAAUUCCUGGUGUAGCGGUGAAAUGCGCAGAUAUCAGGAAGAACACCCGUGGCGAAAGCGGCUCUCUGGAACGGUACUGACGCUGAGACGCGAAAGCGUGGGGAGCGAACAGG
rnacentral:rRNA from 1 species